UACGUAGGCAGCAAGCGUUGUUCGGAAUUACUGGGCGUAAAGGGCGCGUAGGCGGCCACCGCAAGUCGACUGUGAAAUCUCCGGGCUUAACCCGGAAAGGUCAGCCGAUACUGCGGGGCUAGAGUGCAGAAGGGGCAACUGGAAUUCUCGGUGUAGCGGUGAAAUGCGUAGAUAUCGAGAGGAACACCUGCGGCGAAGGCGGGUUGCUGGGCUGACACUGACGCUGAGGCGCGAAAGCUAGGGGAGCGAACGGG
rnacentral:rRNA from 1 species